rnacentral:rRNA from 1 species
UGAGUCCGCGUUUCAUUAGCUGGUUGGUGGGGUAAUGGCCUACCAAGGCGACGAUGAGUAGCUGGUCUGAGAGGAUGAUCAGCCACACUGGGACUGGAACACGGCCCAGACUCCUACGGGAGGCAGCAGUGGGGGAUAUUGGGCAAUGGGCGCAAGCCUGACCCAGCAACGCCGUGUGAGGGAAGAAGGUUUUCGGAUCGUAAACCUCUGUCAGAAGGGAAGAAGUGGCAGUUAUUUAAUAUAUAACUGCUUUGACGGUACCUUCAGAGGAAGCACCGGCUAACUCCGUGCCAGCAGCCGCGGUAAUACGGAGGGUGCAAGCGUUAUUCGGAAUCACUGGGCGUAAAGCGCGCGUAGGUUGCGUGGUAAGUCAGAUGUGAAAGCCCCCGGCUCAACCGGGGAACUGCAUUUGAAACUGCCAUGCUUGAGUACGACAGAGGGUGGCGGAAUUCCCGGUGUAGGAGUGAAAUCCGUAGAUAUCGGGAGGAACACCAGUGGCGAAGGCGGCCACCUGGGUCGAUACUGACGCUGAGGUGCGAAAGCGUGGGUAGCAAACAGGAUUAGAUACCCUGGUAGUCCACGCCGUAAACGAUGGAUACUAGGUGUCGGACAAGG